AAAUAACGUCAGACUUGCCAUGAUCACUUAUGCCAAUGAAAACAGAAAAGCUGUGUGUCUCUCGCAGUGUUACAAGUUCGUGACGUGUAAUGAAACAAAGAGGAUUUUCACUGAAAACGACAUAUUGCUUUCCAGACGCUUGUCUUCAAAUUGAAAUUAAUUACAUUGAUCAUGUUUUGGUAAGCCGUAAUUCUUCUUUCUACAAUCUCGUAAAACAAUAAAUACGGAAUUGAAAGGGUUUUAGAUACCUUUUUUUUUCGUUUGACAGUAUUUCAUGACGGUGAAUAUAUUCCUUCUAAGCCAUUGAUCCAAAAUGAUAUGUGACAUUUUGUCUUAUUUGCCGAAGUGCUAGAUAAAAAUCUGUAGAUUUUUUUAACAUUUGACACAAAGUAGUUAUAAAUAAAAUAAACGUUUUUCUUUG